UCACUGGAAGAAUUCACACGAAACUUAUGUACACUGUAGGAUAUCAGUGUUCAAUGAAUGAUGUUCUUCGAGAAUACGACGACUGUUUUGUAGCAGAGAAAGAAAUUCACAGAAAGGUGAAAUUAAUUGUCCACGACAUGAACUUACCCAUACUCUAAGUGAACCUUAUUUGGUUGGAUACUGGAAGAAGGAUUGUAAUGUACCAGAGACAGAAGUUGCUAAUACGCAUAAAGACAGCUUUAUCCACUGUUAUGAGGAGGCGCUGUUGAAAUUCCAUUUCCAAAAAUUUGAAAAGUUGACCAAGGUUGGCCGAAAAGCCUUACAGAUUUAUUUUGAUACGGUAUUCCCAACACAAGACCUUGCCAACAUGUCAUCAAGAAAGAACA